rnacentral:rRNA from 1 species
ACUCCUACGGGAGGCAGCAGUGGGGAAUUUUGGACAAUGGGCGAAAGCCUGAUCCAGCAAUGCCGCGUGUGUGAAGAAGGCCUUCGGGUUGUAAAGCACUUUUGUCCGGAAAGAAAUCCUUGGCUCUAAUACAGUCGGGGGAUGACGGUACCGGAAGAAUAAGCACCGGCUAACUACGUGCCAGCAGCCGCGGUAAUACGUAGGGUGCGAGCGUUAAUCGGAAUUACUGGGCGUAAAGCGUGCGCAGGCGGUUUGCUAAGACCGAUGUGAAAUCCCCGGGCUCAACCUGGGAACUGCAUUGGUGACUGGCAGGCUAGAGUAUGGCAGAGGGGGGUAGAAUUCCACGUGUAGCAGUGAAAUGCGUAGAGAUGUGGAGGAAUACCGAUGGCGAAGGCAGCCCCCUGGGCCAAUACUGACGCUCAUGCACGAAAGCGUGGGGAGCAAACAGGAUUAGAAACCCCAGUAGUCCCAUGAU